rnacentral:rRNA from 1 species
ACAGUCACUGACAUUAGAUACCCGGGUAGUCCAGGGUGUAAACGCUGCAGACUUGGUGUUGGAAGCCCUUUGGGGGCAUUCAGUGCCGGAGAGAAGUUGUUAAGUCUGCUACUUGGGGAGUACGUCCGCAAGGAUGAAACUUAAAGGAAUUGGCGGGGGAGCACCGCAACGGGAGGAGCGUGCGGUUUAAUUGGAUUCAACACCGUAAAACUCACCAGGGAAGACUGUUACAUGAAGGCCGAGAUGAAGACUCUGCUAGAUUUUCAG